UACGGAGGGGGCUAGCGUUGUUCGGAAUUACUGGGCGUAAAGGGUGCGUAGGUGGCGCUGUAAGUCGGGUGUGAAAUUUCGGAGCUUAACUCCGAAACUGCAUUCGAUACUGCGGUGCUUGAGGACUGGAGAGGAGACUGGAAUUCAUGGUGUAGCAGUGAAAUGCGUAGAGAUCAUGAGGAAGACCAGUGGCGAAGGCGGGUCUCUGGACAGUUCCUGACACUGAGGCACGAAGGCCAGGGGAGCAAACGGG
rnacentral:rRNA from 1 species